rnacentral:rRNA from 1 species
GAGUUUGAUCCUGGCUCAGAUUGAACGCUGGCGGCAUGCCUUACACAUGCAAGUCGAACGGCAGCAUGAUCUAGCUUGCUAGAUUGAUGGCGAGUGGCGAACGGGUGAGUGAUACAUCGGAACGUGCCCUGUAGUGGGGGAUAACUAGUCGAAAGAUUAGCUAAUACCGCAUACGACCUGAGGGUGAAAGUGGGGGACCGCAAGGCCUCAUGCUAUAGGAGCGGCCGAUGUCUGAUUAGCUAGUUGGUGGGGUAAAGGCCCACCAAGGCGACGAUCAGUAGCUGGUCUGAGAGGACGAUCAGCCACACUGGGACUGAGACACGGCCCAGACUCCUACGGGAGGCAGCAGUGGGGAAUUUUGGACAAUGGGCGAAAGCCUGAUCCAGCAAUGCCGCGUGUGUG